ensembl:lncRNA
GGUGGGUGUGGGGGAAGGAGUGGAAAAAGCAGCCGCCCAACCUCAAUGCAGAAGCAGGUGCUCCAUAACACAACGGUUACACGGAAGAUUAGCAGCAAAGGGAAGUUGGAUGUUGCAGUCGAGAUGUAACUCCCUUGAGGGGAGAUCUGGAGAUUUUUUGCCCAGAGGUCGGUUGGCUGAUGGCAUCUUGUAUCCCAUGCCCAGUAGGAGUCUGGUUGUCCUUAUGGCUGGUUUUCCUGUUGCUCUUUCUGCCUGGACAACAUGGUGGUGAGUUGAUGCUAAAUGAAGAGAUUGUUCCUUUUUUGUUCUGUAUUUGUAUGCAUGUUUAAUUGUUCCCUAGAGAGAAGCUCUGAGCUCCCAGUGGGGCAGUGGGUUAAACUGCUGAGCUGCUGAACUUGCUGACCAAAAGGCCAGAUGUUUGAAUCUGGGGAGCGGGGUGAGCUCCCACUGUUAGCCCCAGCUUUUGCUGACUUUGCAGUUCAAAAACAUGCAAAUGUAAGUAGAUCAAUAGGUACCGCUCCAGCAGGAAGGUAAAAGUGCUCCAUGCAGUCAUGCUGGCCACAUGACCUUGGAAGUGUCUAUGGACAAUGCUGGGUCUUCAACUUAGAAAUGGAGAUGAGCACCAACCCCCAGAGUCAGAGACGACUAGACUUGGGGAAAACCUUUACCUUUAGCUUAGAGAGAAGAUAUCAUUUUUAGCAAGGACGCAGCAAAAAAUUUCAACAGCUGCCGUUUCCCCAGGACAGAUGUGCAGAAACGGGGAGAAAUGCUUCUAUUAAACUUCUGCCUGAAAAGUUGCUUUUACAAGGCUUUCCGCAACUACAGCAUUUGCCCUUCUCAUGAGGAAGUCUUGUAGAAGUUCUAGUUGAAAACAAGUUCAUGAAUUUUUUGUUCUCAUAGAACAGGGCUGUUCACGGGCAUUGGAGAAACCAUCCACUUUGACAAAGGUUGAGUUCAAAAUACAGCAUUGCAGUUUGUAAGUUUUUGCUCCCAUGUCUAAGGUUUUCCUAUCUUAAUCAUUUCUUGAGGGAUGUCUGUGUGUGUGUUUGUCGGGAGAAGCCACCUUUUUGGACAAUUGUUCCCAUUAUCUCAGGGAUUUGGGGAGUGUAAGUCCAAAAAAUAACCUUUUCAAGCUCAGAUGCUGCGUAUUACAAAUAGGAAAGCACAAUUGUUAUAUGUAUUAUGUACUCACGCUGUGUACAUAAUAUACACAAUGAGAUUCCACGUUGUACAUAAAUGCAUGCAUGAAUAGUUCAACAACACUUUUCUCUGCCUCUUUACUUUCAUUUAUCCCCCUUCCCCCCCCCCCCCCCUUCUGACAGGCAAAACGAAUUCAUCCGGAACAACUACAACUCCCCCUAUGACAACUCCUGGUGAGUAAAUAUCAACUCAAAUGGGUUCCUGACAUUUCCUUUUUAUUUCUUAUCCCACUCCAAAUUAUGCUGGUGUGACUGAGGGCAGAAAGAUGCAUAAAACUAUGGAGAUUUGUGGCCCUGAUGGGAACUAGAGGUGUCUCUUUACUCCUCCUGAGGUCAGUAAGAAGGAUGCAUCCACACUGCAGAAUUAAUGCAGUGUGAUACUACUUUGUCAUGUCUCAAUGCAAUGGAAUCCAAGGAGGUGUUGUUUUGGUGACACAUUUGCUUUCUUUGGCAGAGAAGGCUGAACUACAACUCGCAUGUUUCCAUUGAGCCAUGACAGCUAAAGUGGUAUCAAACUGCACUAAUUCUACAAUGUAGAUGCAUGUUGAGCAUCUAUAGAAGUCUUGCUCCAAACAGUGUUCUAAUCUUUACUAUCAUUAACUUUUCUAACAAAGUAACAGCACUGCCUGUUUUGCUGCCUGAGUUCUAUCCCAUUUUUGACUAACGUAAUGGCCAAUAGUAGCUUCCAAGUCAGUAGAAUGGUGGAUCUAUACUGGGUUUGAGUCCAAACUGUAA